GAAAGCUUAUAAGAGGAAACAGAGUAAACAAAUGACUAGUUCAUCUCUUUCACACUUUAACUUACUGCUAAAACCGUAGGCCUGCAGAACUACCACGUUUUCAACCCAAACGAAAGUUGAUUACCACAUGAUUGUUUCUACAGACCACGCAGGCCUGGGGCCCCUAAAGUGGACAGCGGCCCGGUACGGUUAUGGUAAUCACUCUGUCAUCAUAAUUCAGCCACUGGAUCACCAACUCCAUUAAGUCAGCUUGCAGCUGUUGCUACCUGGGGAUGGGUAAUUGCUCUGCAGGAGUCCACCCUGCCUUUAUGCCACAUUAGGCAACUUUGCAAGCAUUUCGCUACCCCCUCGCCCCUCACCCAAAUGAGCGAAGAAGCUCUGCUUCACUCUCCUCCUCCCGGCAGCAGAAUACAAACCAGUCUGCCCCAUCCCGAGAUCAACCUUACAUCAAAUAUUCACACACACACAUACGCGUCCAAGCGUGGCUCUCUUCUUUACUCUGACAGCGCUAGAUUCAUCAGAGAACAAUGACCCACAUGACGAUAAUUCAGGACCAGGAAGAUGUAAAAUCGUCUGUCUUCCGAGAGUGAUUUCCCCGAAUGGAUAGAAGAGGCCCUUUGAUUUGUGAGACAACUGUGAAAUUAUUUUCUGAGAAAUGAAACUGUCUCCUGGCAGAAAGACUCAGUAUCUGACAAAAAGAAAAAAAAAAUGGUAAAAUCGCUCAGCAAUCAGUGAUCAAAACCAGACAGAAUCAAAUUACUACAGAUCUCUCCCGCAGUUUCAUCCGCCUUCAUGGCAGGACAGUGAAGAGGAAAGUAUUGGGGGGAAAAAAAAG
ensembl:lncRNA